AAACCUCCUUUGGAAACUCUCAACAGUUACUUUCUCAGUUUGCAUCCAAGUGAGGGGUCCCUGUUUCCUCCUCCAGGCUGACCACUGCCUGGUGCCUUUGAAAAGUUCAGGGGCUGAGAGGACUGGAAGUUAUCCAGCUGGUUACACAGAAACUCUUCCCAAACUGCUAGGGGCCACUUUUGGAGGAUUCAUCUUUAACAUGCACCUAUUCAUCUUGAAGAAAGCAGCCUUUGAAGAAAAAAAUUAAACUGAUGAUCACUGGUGAUUCCAGAGAGCUCAUUCAGAAGUCUUUCUGCACUGCCUUCUGCCAGCCUCCAGGACCGUACACAUGAGUGACAACCUCUAUCUAGUGUUUGAGUAUAUGAACCCUUAAUCCAUCAAGGAGCUUCCAGAACUGAGAGAGUACCUCCACCAUAUGCUUAUACCUCUCUGCACAAACCCAUCAUCUUGGGACCCACAGAAAUGCCACCACAUUGGAAGCCAGCUGAAUGUAUUUUCCUAAUCUCAUCCAGACUCUAUGGCUAUAAUUUGGCUGCUGACAUCAUUUUAAAUUAGGUUUUGCUUCAAUGAAAGAAGGUAAACCGUA